UUCAAAAACAUCUAAGAAAAUUGAAUUUUGUACUUUUAUGGUUAAUUGUGUAGCUUAUAUUUAUAAAUGUUAUUAAUUAAAAGUUAGUUCAACUAAAAAUCAAAACGACGACGUAAAGAUUAGCCAAUUGGUGAUGGGAAAAGACGGCAUCAGAGAUGUGGCAAGCCGGAACUUCUGUGGGCGGUUCCUACGUGAGGAGCCAAAGUUGGGCUGCCAACAAGAAACUAACAAAAAAAAAAAGACGAGAGAAAGGGAGAGAGACAUUAGAAGACCAUGGCCAACCAAUCGGAAGAAAGUCGGAAAUCCAUACAAAUCAAAAGAGACGAGUGCAUAAGGGGGAGAGAGAGAGAGAGAGAGAGAUAGAUGGAUGGAGGGGUGUGCCAGGUGGGCAUGGAUGAAGACGGCGGCUAACCGGACGGAAGCGGAAACGUUGUUGUCAUCAAUCAUCACAAGUCGCGCGCGCUCUCUCAUAGGCCGUCGACGUCGUCGCACAGCACACGCACACAGGAUAAUGCACUGGACCCAAGGACUACUACUAUUUUGGCUACUCUUUCAGCCAGCUUCUCAUGGUUUGGCACUUUACACUGCUUUCCGUCUGAGAUGAUGGAGAAUAUUUGGUUACACUUCACUCACACUUGAUAAAUACCCUAAAAAGGCAACAAAAAAGAGUCAUUGAAUAUAAAAGUAUAUAUAUUCUUGUUGUCUUAUUACCUUAAGAGACCUCUGUGGGUUGGUCAUCAAUUUAUGGAGGGCAAAAAAUAUGAAGUCAAAGAUUAUUUCA